GACUACGCUGGCGGCGUGCCUAACACAUGCAAGUCGAACGAGUUGUUUAUAGUAGCAAUAUUGUGAACAGCAAGUGGCGAACGGGUGAGUAACACGUAGAUAAUCUGCCUUUCAGACGGGGACAACUCAGGGAAACUUGUGCCAAUACCCGAUGAGACUACGGGAGGGGACUUUCGUAGCCAAAGGUGGGGGCAACCUCACGCUGAAAGAUGAGUCUGCGUCCUAUCAGCUAGUUGGUGGGGUAAAAGCCUACCAAGGCGAAGACGGGUAGCCGGCCUGAGAGGGUGAACGGCCACACUGGGACUGAGACACGGCCCAGACUCCUACGGGAGGCAGCAGUGAGGAAUUUUCCGCAAUGGGCGCAAGCCUGACGGAGCGACGCCGCGUGAGGGAUGACGGCCUUCGGGUUGUAAACCUCUUUUAUUAGGGAAAAAGGCAAUCGUGCUAAUACCACGGUUGUUUGAUGUUACCUGUUGAAUAAGCCCCGGCUAACUACGUG
rnacentral:rRNA from 1 species